UACGCAGGGCGCAAGCGUUGUCCGGAAUUAUUGGGCGUAAAGAGCUCGUAGGCGGUCUGUCGCGUCGGAUGUGAAAGCCCGGGGCUUAACCCCGGGUCUGCAUUCGAUACGGGCAGACUAGAGUGUGGUAGGGGAGAUCGGAAUUCCUGGUGUAGCGGUGAAAUGCGCAGAUAUCAGGAAGAACACCCGUGGCGAAGGCGGCUCUCUGGGACGGUACUGACGCUGAGACGCGAAAGCGUGGGGAGCGAACAGG
rnacentral:rRNA from 1 species